UACGGAGGGUGCGAGCGUUGUCCGGAAUCACUGGGCGUAAAGGGCGCGUAGGUGGCGCGAGAAGUCAACGGUGAAAGCUCGUCGCUCAACGACGAGUCGGCCGUCGAUACUCUCGCGCUGGAGCAUUGUAGAGGCUCAUGGAAUUCCGGGUGUAGCGGUGGAAUGCGUAGAGAUCCGGAAGAACACCGGUGGCGAAGGCGGUGAGCUGGGCAAUUGCUGACAACUGAGGCGCGGACGAGCGUGGGAGCAACAGGAUAGAUACCCCGAGUACGUCCGACG
rnacentral:rRNA from 1 species